rnacentral:rRNA from 1 species
UACGUAGGUGGCAAGCGUUGUCCGGAUUUACUGGGCGUAAAGAGUGUGUAGGCGGUGUUCUAAGUCUGUCGUGAAAUCUCCCGGCUUAACCGGGAGGGUGCGGCGGAAACUGGAAUGCUUGAGGGUGGGAGAGGUAAGCGGAAUUCCUGGUGUAGCGGUGAAAUGCGUAGAUAUCAGGAGGAACACCUGUGGUGUAGACAGCUUACUGGACCACUUCUGACGCUGAGACACGAAAGCGUGGGGAGCGAACAGG